rnacentral:rRNA from 1 species
CAGCCGCCGCGGUAAUACCAACCCCGCGAGUGGUCGGGACGUUUAUUGGGCCUAAAGCGUCCGUAGCCGGCCCGGUAAGUCCCUCCUUAAAGCCCACGGCUCAACCGUGGGAGCGGAGGGAUACUGCCGGGCUAGGGGGCGGGAGAGGCCGGGGGUACUCCUGGGGUAGGGGCGAAAUCCUAUAAUCCCAGGAGGACCACCAGUGGCGAAGGCGCCCGGCUAGCACGCGCCCGACGGUGAGGGACGAAAGCUGGGGGAGCAAAGGGGAUUAGAUCCCCCCGUAGUCCCAGCUGUAAACGAUGCAGGCUAGGUGUUAGGCGGGCUUCGUGCCCGCCUAGUGCCGUAGGGAAGCCGUUAAGCCUGCCGCCUGGGGAGUACGGCCGCAAGGCUGAAACUUAAAGGAAUUGGCGGG